AACGGGAAACCGAUAUGGCUACCAUGUGUAAUGUGCAUGUGUAAGCGUGGCAUGUGGACAGAAGCAGGCACACUGUGCAACUAGGCGUGUAGCCGCUACAAAUGUGUGAUGGAGCUGACGCAUGCGGUGAUUGAAGCGGGCAAGGAGGAAACCUCAAAGAAAAUAAUAAAAGGGUGGUUGAAGCACUCCUUUGAUCGAGAGAGUGGUCGUCGAAGGAGGGCAGAAAGAAGGCAGGUCAAGUCUGGAGACUCUGUUGGCUGCAAGCAGUGAUUCAGACGUCUAGAUUGAUUCAGAUGUCUAGUUUGCUAUGUUUUGUUUUACCUCAUUAUCUAUUUCAUCUAUUUUGAGGAAUUGCUUGCUAUGCAAGUGUUUUUCCCCUAUGCUCAAAUGUUUCCAAUACUUUCCUCUUUGUCUUAAUUCAG